AGCAGCCGCGGUAAUUCCAGCUCCAAUAGCGUAUAUUAAAGUUGUUGCAGUUAAAAAGCUCGUAGUUGAAUUUCGGGAUCAAUAUGUUGGUCGUGCCUCGGUACGUACUAGCAUAUUGGUUUCUCCUUUCUGAAGAACCAUGAUGUCAUUUAUUUGGUGUCGUGGGGAAUCAGGACUGUUACUUUGAGAAAAUUAGAGUGUUUAAAGCAGGCUCACGCUUGAAUACAUUAGCAUGGAAUAAUGAAAUAGGACGUUUGAUUCUAUUUUGUUGGUUUCUAGGAUCGACGUAAUGAUUAAUAGGGAUAGUUGGGGGCAUUAGUAUUCAAUUGUCAGAGGUGAAAUUCUUGGAUUUAUUGAAGACUAACUACUGCGAAAGCAUUUGCCAAGGAUGUUUUCAUUAAUCAAGAACGAAAGUUAGGGGAUCGAAGACGAUCAGAUACCGUCGUAGUCUUAACCAUAAACUAUGCCGACUAGGGAUCGGAUGAUGUUAAUUUUUAAUGACUCAUUCC
rnacentral:misc_RNA from 1 species